GGAAUAUUGGACAAUGGGCGAAAGCCUGAUCCAGCCAUGCCGCGUGUGUGAAGAAGGUCUUCGGAUUGUAAAGCACUUUAAGUUGGGAGGAAGGGCAGUACAUUAAUACUGUGCUGUUUUGACGUUACCGACAGAAUAAGCACCGGCUAACUCUGUGCCAGCAGCCGCGGUAAUACAGAGGGUGCAAGCGUUAAUCGGAAUUACUGGGCGUAAAGCGCGCGUAGGUGGUUCGUUAAGUUGGAUGUGAAAUCCCCGGGCUCAACCUGGGAACUGCAUUCAAAACUGUCGAGCUAGAGUAUGGUAGAGGGUGGUGGAAUUUCCUGUGUAGCGGUGAAAUGCGUAGAUAUAGGAAGGAACACCAGUGGCGAAGGCGACCACCUGGACUGAUACUGACACUGAGGUGCGAAAGCGUGGGGAGCAAACAGGAUUAGAUACCCUAG
rnacentral:rRNA from 1 species